AAAAAGAUGAUGAGAAUUAAGUAUUAUACAAGAAGAAAGAGAAGAAGCAAGAAAAAAAAAAAAAAAAAAAAAAACUGAAACUUGAAAUAGGUGGCGAAAGAUAUUUCAAAUUUCAUUAUACAAAUUUUUUCUUUUUUCUUUUAGAAGAUAUAAUCUUAAUUAUAUUUUAUAAAAUAAAUUAAAAAAAAAUAUAAUUGUAAAAUCUUCUUAACAAGAACAAAUACAAAACAUUUGUAUUCCUAUUAUUUCAUUAAUGAAAUGAUAAUUUACAAACUUGAUAAAAUGAAAAUAAUAAAAAAAUAAAAUAAAUCUUUACGAAUGUUAGAGAUAAUUUUUAUAUAUUUUAUUUUUUACUUAUUUAUCAAAACACCAAAAGGAAAAAAAAAAGAAAAGGAAUAUAUAUAUAUAUAUAUAUAUAUAUUAUACAUAUAUAUACAUAUUCGUCAAUUGGACAAAAUUGUUUACUCCUUUGACAAUAUGAAUUUUUUUUUUUUUUUUUUUUUUUGCUUCUUCUCAUUUCUAUUAUCAUGAUUUAUGAAUGAAAAAAAUCUUUGGUAAUCUGAUUUUUAAUGA